GAAGAAAGAAACUAAAGAGAAAGAGAAGAAGGAGGAGGAGGAGAAGGAGGAGGAGGAGGAGGAGAAGGAGAAAGUCAAGCCCCAAGGAGCUGCGCAGGUGUCUGAACCCUUGGGGCAUUUCUUGGGGGCUCCCCCAGCCUGACCCCCAAUGAGUCAUCAGAAGCCAACACCAUCCCAACCUGAAACAAAGAAAGGCACUGUCCUAGUUCUGCUCAUUGUGUUUCUUCCAGACAGACAAAUCCAGAUAAAUGUGGCCCAGUUUUCUGUUUUGACAGAAGAAGGAGGAGGAGAAGGAGGAAAACAAGGAGAAGGGAGAAGGAGAAGGAGGAGAAGGAG